AUACAGGGGGUGCGAGCGUUAAUCGGAAUUACUGGGCGUAAAGAGUACGUAGGCGGUUGCUUAUGUCAGAUGUGAAAGCCCCGGGCUCAACCUGGGAACUGCAUUUGAAACUGAGUGACUAGAGUUUAAGAGAGGGGAGUAGAAUUCCGGGUGUAGCGGUGAAAUGCGUAGAGAUCCGGAGGAAUACCAGUGGCGAAGGCGGCUCCCUGGCUUAAAACUGACGCUGAGGUACGAAAGCGUGGGUAGCAAACAGGAUUAGAUACCCCAGUAGUCC
rnacentral:rRNA from 1 species